rnacentral:lncRNA from 1 species
CUCUUCCUGGGGCUCAGCGUCGGAGUCUCAGCGCCCUGCAGACACGGAGGCUGGGGCUUCUUGGCCUCAGGCACGUGAGUGAAGAAGGACGCUGACGAGGCCGUCAGUCUGGUGGGAUCGGCGCAGGGGCCCGGGAACCCAGAGGAAGGAGGAGGACAGACCCUUGAACCCUGACCUCUUUGUGUUUUCAUACCUGCUUUGGAUGUCAUGUGGCCUGUGCUUUGGACCGUGGUGCGUACCUAUGCUCCCUAUGUCACAUUCCCUGUGGCCUUUGUGGUCGGGGCUGUGGGCUACCACCUGGAAUGGUUCAUCAGAGGGAAGGAUCCCCAGCCUGUGGAGGAGGAGAAGAGCAUCUCAGAGCGCCGGGAGGACCGCAAGCUGGAUGAGCUGCUAGGCAAGGACCACACCCAGGUGGUGAGCCUUAAGGACAAGCUGGAAUUUGCCCCUAAAGCUGUCCUGAACAGAAACCGACCGGAGAAGAAUUAACGAAGGACACAGGGCCCUAUGGGUCCUUCAGUGGGCCUUGUCUGGCCCUGCCACCAUGUCGACCCAGCUCUAGAACCCACAUCUGAUUUGCUUUAUUGCUUCUGGCCCCUCUCGCCCCACACAGCCACACACUCUGGCUGCUCUGCUGCGGCCAGGCAGACGCGCUGGUAGCUGAGGGGCCAGUGAAGAGGAAGGCUCACGAGGGUUCUGACCUGAAAGUUGCAUCUGCUGGUUGGUGGCCACCGCUGCUCAGGCUUCUGCGCUGCUGGGUGCACCACUGGGAGGAGUUAUGAGAUGAACACUGGCUCUCAGUCCCUUCGGGGAAGCAGUUCGGCCCCAAGGGGGAGUGGCUGGGAUUGGGGGUUGUCUUUAGGAGGGAUACCUACAUGUCUAGUUCCAGUUCGCACUGGGAGGAGGUCACAGAUCUGCCUGGCUUGCCCUGUCCUUUGUGCUCAUUCUCCCUCCAGUCCUGGCCUAGCACUCAGGCAGGGAUUCCCCUGGGAAGGAAAGCCCUUUUGUUCUUGGGAGCCCAGGCUGUUCACCUUGGGGCAUGUGACUUCGCUUGAAAACAGUCACUACCUUUCACCCCCCCAUCACUGUUCAGAGCAAAACUUGAUUAAAGUGGUGUCUGAGAACCAUAUUGAUCUAAUCCUAUCUUCCAGGUGGUGUUGGGGUCUCCUUAGAGUUAUGCAAGUGCAGGUGACUCCAGGUAGGAAAACGCUGGCCUUUAACUGAGUAAGGACUUCGGGGCCAUAGAAACUUUGUUUUACUAACAUGGUUGUACUGGGUCCCAGAGGCACCCGUUCCCAAGAGCCUUUUUAUCAUGAUAACAAGAGGCUUAUAGGACCUUUCAAAGUCUAAAUUAGAGGAGCCCAGGAAGCUGAACAAUUGUUGUCAGUUUACCAAUUUCAUGCACGUACGUAUACACACAUAUAGUUUUCCCGGUGAAAGUAGUAUUUGUACAUUAAAGAACAUUUGGUAGGGAUUUAAAAAAAAUGGUUACCCAAGAGAUCCCUCCAUUGCAUAGUGGGUUAAUAAUCCGGCUCAUCUCAUGGUGUUGCUAGGUCAAUGCCUGAUGCAGUGGUUUAAGGAUCUGGUGUUGCAGCUGUAGCCUAGGUUGUAGAUGUGGCUCGGAUUUGAUCCUGUGGCCCAGGAACUUUAUAUGCUGUGGGUGCAGCCAAAAAUGGGGAAAACAAAAACAAAAAACCCAAACAGAUAGUUAUCCACACUCUGAGGGCCCAUUUACAGCUAAAAAGCUCACAUUUUGGUAUCUUUCACUAAUUCUUGACCUAGUUUUUUGCUUUCUUUCUGAUGGUUAUCAUUACUGUACAUUUAAUUUUAUAUUCUUUUUUCACAUGGUGUUUCACAUCGUAAUCAUUUUCUCAUUUUAUCACAUGGUCUUCAUAGUCCUCAUUGUUUCAACAGCUGUAUAAUUGCCCAUUGAGUGGGAACAUAGCAUAGGUUUUUUGUUUUUUGUUUUUGGCUGUGCUCACGACAUGUGGAAGUUCCCGGGCUAGGGACUGAAUCCACGCCACAGCAGUGACAAUGCCAGAUCCUUAACCCACUGAGCCACCAGGGGACUCGGCAUGGCUUGUUUUUUAAGUUUCCCUGUUGUUAGACAUUUGGAUUGUUUCUGGUUCACUAGAAGAAAUACCACAAAGAGUAUCUUAUAUAAGGAUUCUCCUGCAGUUUGGACUAAAUGGUAGGAACAGUAAAUGGCGUUUUGGAUGAAAUGAGAUGAACAGUUUUAAGGGUCUCGGUGCCUAACACUAAAUGUCUUUCCAAGGGGCUAUAAGAGCUUAUACUAAAUGCUGCCACUUAAGAGUUGUUGGGGAGUUUGGAAGUGGUGAGAGCAGAGAGUGGACCUAUUGCCUGAUGAAGGCGGCUGACCUUUAACCUGAAUGAGCAAAGGCAGGCAAUGAACAUUUGAUGAAGAACAAACUGCUUUAAAAUGGGGGAGGGUGUGUACCCUGCUUCUGACCUCAGGAUCUGGGGUGGGUGAAGAUGGGAUUCCUGAACAGGUAGAGAUGCUGGCUGUGCAGUGGGAGGAGCUAGGGGACAGGGAAGGAGGUAGCCAGAGAUGCAGGGUCAAGUUGAGUUGGUAGCUUCCCCUCAGUUGCGGAGGCCUAGUGGGCAUGUAGAGAUGAGUUGCUGUUGCCUCUCAGGGAAUAAAUCUGAUGGGGAGUGUGGAGCAGCAGUGUCUGCUACCGAAGUAGUGAUGAGGUUUCUGAUUUUGAAAGGAUAUAUUGAGCUCAGCUUGGUCACUUGGUUUUUGAGCUCAGGCUGACGCAGGCCUUAUCGGCAGCCCAGUGCUGCCCCCCUGUGGCAGUCCUGAGUAUGGUCAAGCCUGGGAUCCCUCCGCAGGGCCAAACUGCUAGUAGCAAACUCCCAUGCCUGGAGGGGUUCAGUAAGGUGGCUUAAGAGAGCAGGCCAGGCCAGGAGCUAGGAAGCACAGGCCUGCCUAAAGGGGGCAGUGGCUAUGCAGCUUCUUCCAGUUUGUGCUCCUUGCCUAGAAACACCAGUUUUUCUUUUUUCCCUCUUGAAGAUACUAGACAUUCAGAUUUUUGUGGAUUUUAUUUAUUUAUUUUGGUGUGGAAACUUCCGAUUUUUAAAAGUUGACAGUUUACUUAAAAAAAAAAUUGGAGGAGUUCCCGUCGUGGCGCAGUGAUUAACGAAUCCGACUAGGAACCAUGAGGUUGCGGGUUCGGUCCCUGCCCUUGCUCAGUGGGUUAACGAUCCGACGUUGCCGUGAGCUGUGGUGUAGGUUGCAGACUCGGCUCGGAUCCCGAGUUGCUGUGGCUCUGGUGUAGGCCGGUGGCUACAGCUCCGAUUCAUCCCCUAGCUUGGGAACCUCCAUAUGCCGCGGGAGCGGCCCAACAAAUAGCAACAACAACAACAACAAAAAAAGACAAAAGACAAAAAAAAAAUUGGAGUUCCCUUGUGGUGCAGUGGUGCUGCGGCUUGCAUUGCUGCUGUGGCUCAGGUUCGAUCCUUGGCCUGGGAACUACUUCAUGCUGCUGAUGCAGCGAAAAACAAUAACAAUAGUAAUAAUAAAAAUUCUAAGCAUGCUAACAUACCUAUAGAGGUAAUUUGACCCAGUGGCUGUCAAUUUGCCACCUGUCAAGCUGCCCCUGGCCUUCUAAUGAAAUCUGAGAGAUCUGCAUAGUUUUUAAGCAAUCAAACAACUGUGGCAAAGAUUAGAUCCCAGGACUGGUUUCUUUUGAAACACCUGAGCAUCCUGUGCAUAUGUAGUCUAAUAUCAGCCUAAGCAAAACAUUAGAGGGCAGAAAACCUACAGAAAUAACCCAAAAAAGUUUUCCCACAGACUAAGACAUUUUUGGAUUUUCAGCUAUUUUAGAAUAAGCCUGUCACUGCUGCUGUACUCCUCCCAGUGCCUGGCAGAGGAUGCCCUAUCUUUGGAAAUCCAAGUUGCCCCAUUUUUCCAGUCUCACUUUGUGUCCCCUUUAAAUAAUUUUAUUUCCUAGGGCUUGCCCUCACUGAAUGUCUGCCUCCGGCAAGUCUAUUAAUAUUCUCAGUGGCUUUUCUUUCCCAAGGGCUGGCUGAGCCCUGCUUCUGCUGUGGGGCUGUGAGAUAGUGCAUGCUUUCUUGUCUCUGCUCCGGAGACCUCAGGUAGCAGGGCUUCUGAGGCUGUGGCAAAGGCAGGCCAGGCUUGCUGAAACAAACCCAGGCACGGACCAGUUUGCUUCCAUAGCUGCUGAUUCACCUUGGAGGCAUGUGACCCUCUUUGGGAUCAGCCCAACAGUCACAUUAACACUGAGAUGUGCUUGGGGCUUUUUGCUUGGCACUCACCCCCACCCCAUCUCUUCUCGGCCUGAUGCUGGCGGUCAGAGCCUGUUAUCCUAUCUGAGCACGGCAGGAAUCACUUCUCUGCCCUCAGCCGCCCCGUGUCUGGUGCUUUUCCACUCUCUCCUGAGCCUUUCCUGUGCCUGUUGCUGUGUUAGCACAAGUCAGCUGGGCAGCUGCCAGGACAAGCCUUCUAGGGGGCCCUUUGACUGCUGUCAGCUUCCCAGGGCCCUGGGCUGGUGAGGCCGCCAGCAGAGCAAAAAACUCCAUGGGAUUAGCCUCCCCAGAGUCACUUGAGGGCCAGGCAGUGGAAACAAAAAGGCUUAUGCCUUUUGCCUUACUUUUCUUUUUCCCCUCAGGUCUCUAGGCACUUGUCGAGUGGGGAGCCGGGGCUGUGUGGUAGAGUAAAAAUAAAGUGGGUGCUAGAGGCUGGCAGACUUGUGAGUACUGCUUCCACAGGUAGCUGAGUGACUUUGGGCAGGUCACAUAGCCUUUCCGAGCCUCAGUUAUCCUCAUUCGUAAAACUGGGAUAAGAAUACCUUCUUUUUUUGUUUUUUUUUUUGUUUGGUUUUUUUUUUUUUUUUUGGUUUUUUAGGGCCACACCUGCAGUAUGUGGAGGUUCCCAGGCUAGGGGUCGAAUCGAAGCUGCAGCUGCUGGCCUGGACCACAGCCACAGCAAUGCUAGAUCCCAGCAAUGCCUGCGACCUGUGCUGCAGCUCAAGGCAGUGCUGGAUCCUUAAUCUACUGAGUGAGGUUAGGGCUCGAACCCACAUCCUCAUGGAUGCUAGUCGGAUUCUUAACCUGCUGAGCCACAGUGGGAACUCAAGAAUACCUGUUUUUUGCUGGGUUGUUGCAAAGCUAAGGUAACAUGUAAAGUUCUCAGCAGAGUCCAUGGCAGCAAGUAGGUGCCCAAUAAGUGUGUUGGCUGCUUUAGUUUUAUUGUAGGAAAAAGUUGCAUGUAACCCUGUGAUCCUGGGGAGGUAGGGAUCUGGAGGAGGGAGCCUUGGCUGGGAGAGUGCUCAUAGGUGCCGUCACAGGCCUAGUGAUUGAGGGCUUCUUAGGAGUAUUUUACAGGAAGGACCAGCUGGCGGCGGCGGGAGUGCAGGCUUAGACCUGUGUUACUAGGUUGUCCCCUUGCCAGUGCUAUCCCAAAGUUGGAGAUGAGAAGUGGGGAGCAAGGCGUGGGGAAUGGCCCUAGAGUGCCCCACUUCAGAAUGGGUGGAGGAGAGAGCUUUGGAGUUGGAGACCAGUGAACACGGUGGCCUGGAACAGGCCCCUUCACCUCUCUGGCUUUGGUGUCCCCACUUGCAAAAUGGGGAUACGGAUGUGCUCUGAGGUGUAGUGUAAAAAGAAUGAGAGGCCAGCUUAGCCAGUGCUCCAAAAACAUGCAGGUGCUGUUCUGUCCUGUAAAAUCUUGCUUUUACCGAAUCAGAAUGGCAGCCAGUCUGAAUAACGGCAUAGACAUAAAUGCUCCUUUAUUCUUUUUCUGAACAGUCUCUCAAACUAUUUGCUAAAGUAAAAAUGUUUGGGGAAUCAGCUUUACAAGUAAAGAGGAUAAUCACAGUGUAUCAUUUUGCAUCCUGUUCCAGCAGUACCUUGAGAUGCUUAAAAAUAGUUUAUUCUUUUUGAGCUAAGUUUGUUAACAUUAGUUAUCUGUUUACCACAUCUUUUUAUAUCAUGCAGAGAUAAACCAUGGCUUGUUUUUUGUUUAAAAA